UUGGAGGGCAAGUCUGGUGCCAGCAGCCGCGGUAAUUCCAGCUCCAAUAGCGUAUAUUAAAGUUGUUGCAGUUAAAAAGCUCGUAGUUGAAUUUCGGGGUUCUACCGUUGGUCGGGCUUUGUCUGUACUGGUGUGUAGAAUUUCUACCUUCUGGGGAACCAUCAUGCUAUUAAUUUAGCGUGGUGGGAAACCAGGACCUUUACCUUGAAAAAAUUAGUGUGUUCAAAGCAGGCUUAUGUCUGAAUACAUUAGCGUGGAAUAAUAGAAUAGGACGGUGGUCCUGUUUUGUUGGUUUCUGAAUCACCGUAAUGAUUAAUAGGGAUAGUUGGGAGCAUUAGUAUUCAAUUGUCAGAGGUGAAAUUCUUGGAUUUAUUGAAGACUAACUUCUGCGAAAGCAUUUGCCAAGGAUGUUUUCAUUAACCAAGAACGAAAGUUGGGGGAUCGAAGACGAUCAGAUACCGUCGUAGUCUUAACCAUAAACUAUGCCGACUAGGGAUCGGAUGAUGUUAAUGUUUUAAUGACUCAUUCGGCGCCUUACGGGAAAC
rnacentral:rRNA from 1 species